UGCCAUCAUCAUCAUAAAUUCAUAAUAUAUACAUUAAGGUUUUUUACUUUAAAAAUCAAAAUAAAAUCAUUCAGGGGCUUACCUGGUGACUCGAUGAGGUACAAUUAAAUGUCCGGGUAAGACACCUCUGGCCACUGGGUGGGGUUGUUACACCAAUUUGACGCUGG